rnacentral:lncRNA from 1 species
GAAAAUGAGACUAGAACCUACAAACCUAUAAAUAAAACCUUAAUAUUUGUUCUGUUUGAAGCCACUCUCAUCAGAGCGAAUGCAAAACAACUCAUCACAGAGACACCUUCACCAGGAACUUCUUCACCUUAUGAAAUGGCAAAGUUCAAGCAUAUUAAAGGGAAUCUCAGAGAACAUAAGCACUGACAUUGCCUCAAGUUCUUAUUCUUCCCACAAAACCCAAGUCUGCUUCUACAGAGUCACUCCGACUAGAGCAGUCCAUAGUGAGCGCCAUAACACUCUGAGAUUCUGAGUCCUCCUCUGUGAGCACAGCAUAUAGGGUAAGACUUUUGGGUGAGAAAGCUGUGCCCGGCGGCUACGAGCUGGCAGCAGAGAUACAGCACGGGGAUGACCAAGACCUUAGACACUUUGACAACAGCCAGAAUAAAUGAUGCUUGCAACUUUGUCUACACGUAAUUUCCAUGAAGAAGCUCAACACACCAUAUUUCUUUUUGCAGAAAUAAGAAAAAUAAUGUAAAGAAGAUGAAAAAUCUGUCCAAGUCAUUGCUUUGUCUUACAGAUUAAAGAAAGAUGAGAAA